ACAUUUAAAAGCGAUUUUUUUAGUUUGUAGCUUUUUAUUUGGUUUAAUAUUAUUUUGAUAAUAAUGACCAUUAUCAUUGAGAAAACCAAACGAGGCCAAAGGGUUUAUAGUGUAAGAUUAAUGAUUGUGGGCCAAUUAUUUUAUUACCAAAACACUUGAAAACUGAAACGUUUAAUAAGAGCGCUAAAGUGUGCCCCCGGUGCAGAAAAGUGUUUGAUUUAAUAAAACGAAACUGGUUUGUUAUCAACAUUUGUUUGUUAUACAAACUUAUCGUAAAACUAAAUUGAUUUUUUUAUUAACAUUAUAAAUUAGAAUGAGUUCACGCGAAAACAGAUUGUUUGGAAAAUGGCCAACAAAAGAAAUGUACAAAUACGAUUGCAUAUUUACGAGGGUUAGAGAGCCAGACGGGAGAAAUGAAUAGCUCGUCGUCGCUGUGAACAAAACAAUGUGAUAAAGGAGAAACUAACAAACCCCAACAGCUGUUAUUUGAGAGCAAAAUUAAUCUUAAUUGUAGAAUUUAAUCGUGUCAUAAGUGCUUAUAAGCGAAUUUUAAUCUUCAAGUAAUUUUUUGAAGGGGAUUUUGUAUGGUAUACAGAGGGUCAAUUGAAGCUAAAUAAUUUCAAAAUGGGCAGUGUCAUUUAGACCUCAAUAA